rnacentral:rRNA from 1 species
CCUACGGGGGGCAGCAGUGAGGAAUAUUGGUCAAUGGACGGAAGGCUGAACCAGCCAAGCCGCGUGAGGGAGGAAGGCGCAGAGCGUUGCAGACCUCUUUUGCCGGGGGACAAAAGGCCGGACGGGUCCGGUUCUGAGGGUACCCGGUGAAAAAGCAUCGGCUAACCCCGUGCCAGCAGCCGCGGUAAUACGGAGGAUGCGAGCGUUAUCCGGAUUUAUUGGGUUUAAAGGGUGCGGAGGUGGGCCUUUAAGUCGGCGGUGAAAUUGUGGGGCUCAACCCCGCCCGAGCCGUCGAAACUGGGGGCCUUGAGUGCGGCAGAGGCGUGCGGAAUUCGCGGUGUAGCGGUGAAAUGCAUAGAUAUCGCGCAGAACCCCGAUUGCGAAGGCAGCGUGCCGGACCGCCACUGACGCUGAGGCACGAAAGCGCGGGGAUCGAACUGGAUUAGAUACCCCGGUAGUC